rnacentral:lncRNA from 1 species
CCCCCCACCCCCGCCGCCUUCCAGGGUGCUGGCGUGGGUCCCUCGCCGUCCGGCGGCGACUGUAAAUAGAGCCUGGAUGUUGUUUACAUGAAGGAUCCGGCGGGAGGAGUCUGCGAGGAGGAGGCGGAGGAGGAGGGAGGGAAGACAGAGGAAGAGCGGAGUCCCCGCGGCGGCUGCGUCCGGGGCGAGGGGGAGCCCCGCGCGGCGUCCGGGGACCCGGCGCUGCCACGAGGCCGGGACGCUGGACCCUGGGAAGGGGGAAGGGACUUGGCGGACAUCGCCUGCUCCCGGCCGCAGCUGAACCCACGGCUUCUCCCUGCCUUCCCGGGCCAAGGAAUCUUUUCCCUCGCUCAGCUACCCUCACGCCAGCUGCCACCUUCUUGGAGAAGGACCACACCUGUGCUUACUCUCGCUCUGGAGGAGAGGUUCCUCCAUAAGAGCAUCCCCAGAGUUGCUGAAGACCCUUCUGUAAAAGUCAACAGCCUUUCUUUCAUGACAUCACCACCUAAGCCCUUCCAACUUUAG